CUCAGCGGAAAAAGGAAAGAACUCUUUAUGAUUAUAUUAUUAUUAUUAUUAUUACAAUUUCAUGUGUUUGAACAUGAAAUAUUCAGCUUGAGUUUUUAUACUUUAAUCAUUCAUUCAAGACACUUGAGGUUUCAUCCAGAUGUCAUUUUAUUGUCCAUGCGUGCUAUGAACUAUUUUGCUACAUUUGAUGCGGCCAAACAAUGACAGAACUGGCAAAAUAAAACCGCACACUUUUCUGAUCGUUGACACUGUAACAUCAUAAAUAAAAUCUGCUCUAUUAAUGACACAAAAUAACUUACAUUUUGCUUAUAAAUAACUCAGCAAUUAAAUUAAAGAAAUAAAUAACUGUAAGAUACUAAAUAUUAGGCUCAAGUAAGCGUGUGCUUCAAUCUUCAUGCUAGCAAAAAAGUGCUCAUUUUCUUAAUGGAGUUUUGAGUGGCGUCAAGGUGACGCGGAGGAAGGAGAGGGGGACACUGGGGGAGCGAAUGAGGACACGAAGGGAGUGUAUGAAGACGCUGUGGAAGGCGUGGAGGUGAGGAUGGAGAGCAGCGUGGUUUUGGGCGGCGAGCCGGUGCUCAGCCUCUGAGCGUUGGCUUUCCUGCGAGAGCGAGAGAUUGAGGAGUUAGCCUGAGGUUGAAUGUGGGUCAUGAUGAUGAUGAUGAUGAUGAUGAUGAUGGGAAACUCACUCAAUUGCCGCUGCCUUCUCUCGGACCCACGGGGCGCGGAUGUGAACGCAGUAAUAACCGCUUUUGGUAUAGAAGCUGGAGGACAAACGACGUUUAGCAUCGUUAGCUUCUUCCCAAAUGGUGCAUUUACAUCAUUUUUGCAACUUUUGCUUUUAAAGGCGUGUUUCGGUGUCAUUAAGUUGUGUUUUCUUGUCAGCUACCGGUAGCAUGCAUGGGCCAGUCGGCCCUGUAAUACCAUUCAGUACCACAGGUGGUGACAGUGAGUCAGACAGCGUCCACACAACUAAACAGGCUAUCUUUAAAUUGUCUAUCAUAACAAUGCAAACUGUUUGAAGCAUUUUACAAAAUGUUAAUAUACUAUAUGGAACAACCUACAACCACAAUAAUGUUAAAUUAGCUCAUUUUGUCAGAUUAGCAACUUUUUCAAUGCCAGGAAGUCUUGAACUACACACUUUGCAGAUUUUUCAGUUUGUCUUAGCGUCAAUUUUUUGAAAGCUGAAUUUGUACUCACAUGACAGCGGGCACACAUGGUUUGACAGGUUUCCUGAUACUGUACCCCAACACUUCCUCCGUUAUCUCCUCGGUGCCGACCUUAGUGCAGCAUUCAUGGGGCUUGAUUACUGGACAGAGAAAGAACCCAAAGAAGAGUUUAGUGUGCUGGUUGAAGCUUUGAAGCGCAGAAGAACAGAAGCCGGACGUCUUCAACUUACCUCCUUGUCCACAUUUGACCAGAUUCACCAGCAUGGCCACCACCAGCACACUCUUCUGCAGACUGACAACCUUCAGCAUUUUUAAAGCAAGGGUGAUGGAUAAGACAGAAAGAAAGACAGAAAAUGCCAAAAGCUGAGCUUGUCUCCCUUGAGUCUUCAGAGAGGUGUGUGUGAAGUGACAAGGCUCGGAGGGACGCAUUUAAAGUGUCAAAAAGCAGAAGUCGCCUUCCAGUUAGUCAUCCCUCAUUUUCUCUUUCCGUCCUCUCCUCUCGGUUAUUCCGAAUGUGUGACACGCUCGUUUGCUGGGAAAUAUUAAAAGUGAUCAACCUCUGGGAGGCCGGAAGCUGGGGUCAAAUGUCUUUUUUUUAACUUCAUUAAUCAACGCGCUGAUGAGUAAAAGAAUGAAUGAAAACACCCAACUUCAUCUUGUCAUAUCAAAUGUAUUUAGUAGCAUUUUUGUUGUUUAAAAACUUGUUUUAAUGCCAUUACGUUUUGACGUAAGGGAAGGGAAGGAAAGUCCUUUCCCGCAAUACCACUUGGUACCACAGGUACACAGGUAGGCGAGUGACAAAAUCCACAAUUGAUACACAGUAAUCCCUCGUUCAUCGUGGUUAAUUGGUCCCAAACCCAAUCAUAAGUGAAUUUCUGUAAAAUAGGAUUCCUUAUUUACAAAUGGAAUAUUUUUGUAGUGAGAGCAUAGAAAACCUGUUUAUGACCUGUUUUUAACAUUAGAGCCCUGUAGACAUGAAAUAACACUCUAUAGUCACCUUUACACCCGUAUGACCCAAUGUAGUAGACAUAAUGAGAGUAAAUAAGCCAUUCAAACCAUAAGUAAGAUGUGUGUGUGUGUUGCUGUAAAUAUGUUCCAGUACUAGGGGAGCUGAGAAGGUGCCAGACAGGAAGUGACAUUGAGGUUCAGAGUUGAGUUUCAGCUUGGCGUGGGUUAUGGUCACAACAGUAAACCGUGAUUGUAUUAGGGAUUUUUGUGCCUGCGAUGAGAUCAUUCAAACAUACAAUCAAACCCUGUUGUUCCGGUGAUCAAAUCUGGUGCUUGUGUGUCUCACCGAACAUUACAGUUACAUGCCCAGUGUAGAAUACUACUCGUCAUAACGUCUUUGAAUGCGUUUUCUGAAGCCCUUAUAUUUGUAUUUUAGUUUAGCCAUUUUUAUGCUUCAAAAGAGGCAAAAAAUAUGUCACGUUUGCUUAAAUAUGCUUUUUUUAUGAUUUAUUUUUUAUUUAUUUGUUUAUUUAUUUGACAAAAUGAUUUAUUAGUUACAGUAUAUACUGUAUAUUUGAAAGAGUGACGGCGUGAAAUUCGAAGCACAAAGUGGCGAGGGACUACUGUAAAUACAUUCUAUUAAAAUGACAUACUAUAUGAAACGCUACUCAGUGGAGCCCACAGCUAGCUCGUGUCUCAUUCUAACUCCCGCAAUCAAUGUACAGGGAACAAUCUGUCCAUAGUACCAGUCAAAAGUUUGGAGACAAUUUCCCAUGUUAUGGAAUGAAAAGGUGUGUCCAAACUUAUGACUGGUACUGUACUUUUAAUUGAUUUUAGCACAGUCUAUUUACUUUAUCCACUAAUCCAACACAUCUAACUUUUUUUUUUUUUUAAAGAUGGAUUUUUGACAUUUGAACUCGCCACGAAUAACACAUUUUUAAAUUGAAUUUGUUGUCAAUCUAAAGCAAGCAAAAUCUAAGAGUUUUGUAGGAAGUCAGGCAUGAAGUAAAUAGACUAUAAAGUAUUAAUAAAAAUAUAUUCAUAUUCUGUUAAACCAAACAUGCCUUGCACUACAUUAUCUGUAAUACAUGACAAAAUAGACAAAAAUGUCUCAUGUUCACAGGCAUAUUGUGAAAGCUGAUAAUGUGAGUGUAUCACUGCCUUUUUAAAAAAAACUUAUUAUUCACUUCAUGACAUGUCUUGACAUGAGUCGCAUGGAAAGAAUGUGUCAUUAGCCACUUGCAGAGGAUGUCUGACAUCAACAGGUGUGGUGUAAUGUAGCGUAGUGUAGCAUAGUUUAGUGUGGCGUAUCAAGCAACUACUACAACAAUAACUUCAUUAUUUGUAAAACCUCUUGUCAACACAGGGAUGCUGACAAUCGCAAACAUCCUACGGUCCAGUGUGGUAAAAGUUAGACUGUUCCAACAUGUCUUGUCGACACACACAAACGAGUCACUUCCGUGAUUCCUUCUGGCGCGUGUUCUCCAAACUCUCACACACUAAAGCGUAAAAAGAGGAAGGAUGUGUGCCACUCAUCGUCGUCAUCACUAGUGUGUGUGUGUGUGUGUGUGUGUGUGUGUGUGUGUGUAUAUGUCAGCUUGCACUAAAAAAGCCUUCGUCACUGAAAACAUGCUGAUUCAGACUUUGUGAUUUAGGUUUGAAACCUCAUCAAACCUCACCAUUAAAUGCUCAGAUUCAUAACAAGUCAUUCUUUUGUAGCCUUUUUGUCACACCUUUUGUGUGUCAUUUUUUGGAAUACAUUUUUUAUUUUUUUUUAGUAAUCAUGGCAACACAUUAUAAACCAAAAAAAAAUUCCAGGUAGGUAAAAAAUCAGUUCAGACAAAAGUUUGGAUACAUUCUUAUGUGAUUGAAUGAGAAGGUUGCCCGAUCUUUGUAUUUGCUAAUAACACUUACAAACAAAAACAAGUCGGUAGAGUACGAGAAUACUGAGUUAAAAGUGAAUCAUUGAGCCGUUUUGUCGGUCGUCGUAAAUGUUCACUACGUUUAUUUCACUUUGUAUGGCUCCCCCUGCGGGCCUCUUAUGUAAAUGACCAAUACGGCAACAACCGUGUCACGUGACAUUCGCUUGUGGCCUGUCUUUUAAAGUCCUCGCUCUCCUCUGUCGCCAUCCAGCGGAUCAAAGUAGUACUACAACCAGGGACCACUAAAGCAAAAUCAAUGCCUUCAACUUUUUGUGUAUGAGAGCAUUUAUUUUUGUAACCGAUGACCUUACAAUUUCCAAGAUGUAAAAACAGCAUACAAAAAUAACUUUUAUAAAUAUUUAUGUAAAAGAUAAAUGGAAAUAGGAAAUCUCAGAUGGGUAUGGUUCACUGGGUCAUCAGUAUGGACAGGUCUGGAGGACAGUGCAGCUUGUUCUAAAUGGAAGAGAAACACAAUCAGACAAAUAUGAACAGAUAUAGAGUCCUAAGAGCAGAGUUUUGCUGCUUUGAGGAAGUCAGAAAAGCACGUUUGUCUGCAGUGGAUUUAAGGGCCUGUGGGAAAGUUGCUAUUCUUUUGCGCUGUUAACAUUCCAUCUUGUCUGGUAACACUUGAAAUGUCACAAACACUUUCAGCAGCUUGCUGCACUUCAAAUAUAUAAACUCCUUUAACUCUUAGCAGUUUAUUCUACCAGCAGGGACACCUACAUCCCAGAUCAGGGCUUUCCAAUGAAAUUAAAAUUUUUCUGCUGUUGAAACGGGCAUGCCAGUGUGAUGUUAUUCAGGGGCCGGAUUUGGCUUGCAGGCCCCAAAUGUUUAGGUCUUGGUGGAGGUCCUUACCUUGUCCAUCUUGUCUUUGAGCCACUUGGCUGCAGGACUGAUGCACCACUGCUUGCCACUCUUGGUUACAAUGCUGCAAACACUACAAUUAAUGAUUUAGCCCCACACCGACAAGCAGGCAGGCCUAUGUUUAAUAAUAUGCUUACAGGAAGGCGUGCUGGUUGCAGUCCUCUCGUGGUUUUUGUUCAAAACACCGCUUGAUUCUCAACACCCUCUUGGAGGAGACACUGCGGCAGCAAGACAGACGCACAUCUGGAACCUGCAAGGCUGAGGAGCAACAUCCAACGGCUGACGUAAAGAAGAGUGGACCACAUCUUCACCAAGAAGGACUGAUGGAAGCCAGACCUGAGAUGUCCUUAAGUACAGUGACCAGACACGUAAAAAUAGAAAACAUUUGCACCAAGCACAUGUGUCUGUAAUGGAAAAUAUUGACAAGAUGGAGGAAGGAGGCUCGGAAGUAGGCAUCACUAUGCCUAUAUAAGUCGACAAGUUUAUUUAUUGUAUUUGUAGCAAAGGGGAAUUACAGGCUUGCUAAGAAUAAACCUCAUGCAAACCCACCAACUAUUAUUAGUUAUGAUCAUGAAAUACAGUGGAGCAAGAAACUGCUAAAAAAAAAAAAAAAAAAAGGAACUAUUUAAGGAAGGAAGCUGCAUCCAAAAGUAAGUGUCCUCCAAUCAGUACCAUCGAAAAUAUCCAGUAUAUGACACACAACAUUAAAAUGAAUUUGUAAUAAUGGAAAGUUUACAAAGCAUCUUUCAAAUUAAUUACGUGGGCUUUUUCCAAUUUAAUUACAUGAGCUUCAUUAUGACGGUCGUUGUUUUCAAUAUGUCACAGAAGUCAUCGCGAGAUUUGGACAACAGCGCCCCAAUGUGGACGUAUACGGGAUAGGCGACGGGCGGUAUGAGGAGUACGCCGCUGCUAGCUGUAGCAUCGAACACAAACAAGGAACACAAACAAGGACUAAACCCACUUUCCUUCACCACUGGCUCCACCAAAAGCUCCAAAAGAACUUUGUUUUAGGUUCAAUCUCCCUUUAGUUUGCCUCUAUCGUGCUGUAAGGAGCAGCGGGAAGAGGAGAGGCCCGCUAACCACCAGAAGAGGCCUGCGGCCUGCUCCUUGUGUGCCCGCUUUCCGGUGUAGCUCAAGUAGCUAGCGCUCUCACUCGAGACCGAGGCUUCUGGUGCUGUGCGGUUUUCUGUACCAACCGAGCCAGGGGAGUUCUGAAAUUUUUCACUUCUUCACUUUGACUUUUUCCGGUCGCGUUCGGUGCUCUUGGGUGGUGCAGUGCAAGCCUUUCUGGUCGAAAGAACGGUUCUGGCGGCGGAGCGGCCUCCUGGUUUGUUUUGGGCCGCCAUGAAUCUUCAGUGAACAAUAACAAGAACCGCGACGAACCGCUAGGCGGUCCACAAGAGAGGGACGCCUGCCGGUGUCGGGCCCGCUACCGAGCCCUUAUUAUCAUAACGCCAACACGGCAGGGACUUUUGACUAUGGAAGUAUCGCUGGGCAACCGGAGCAAAUCGGGUCAUUUUCACACCACAGAGCCCGGGCAGCCGUUGCUGUAGAGCUGCUGUGUGACAUUCAGGCUCCGCUCGACACACGAUGCUCCGACGAACCUCAGCCCGAUUGAAGAACAGGAGGCCCCGCUUGUGAACUCUCUCGGCACCGAGGAUGGACUGGAUGGGACUAAACUGCACCAAGGAAGUGUGAUUUUUUUUUGGGGGGGGGGACCAGAUGUUGUCUUCAAAGCCCCCGGAGUCAAUUUUCUUAUCUGUUGUGUUCGUGUGACACAUUUGCUGCUUUUACUUGUUUGAGACAUCGGAACCGAUCGGACCGGGGUCCCGGGCUAGGCCGAGGAGAUGAACCCGGUAAACGCUACGUCGCUGUUCGUGUCGGCGAGCCGCUCCGUGCUGCAAUGCGACCCCGGAGACCCCCGAGCCCUGUCCGAGCUUUGCAGGCUGCUGCCCUUCUUCAGGCAGUCCUUGUCCUGCCUGGUGUGCGGCAAUCUGCUGCAGGACCCCAUCGCACCCACCGACUCGUCAUGUCAGCAUUACGUGUGUCGUGCCUGCAAAGGUCAGAGGAUGCAGCUCAAGCCGUCCUGCAGCUGGUGUAAGGACUACUCCCGCUUCCAGGAGAACCGGCAGCUCUCACUGCUGGUCCGCUGCUAUAGGAAGCUCUGCCUCUACAUCACGCAGUCGCCGCUGGCCCCGCACAUUGCCAGCGCCGCCGGUGACUCGCCGGACCUGCAGGCCGUCCUCAACGAAGGCCUCAAGUUGGCCGAGAGUGAGGACCAGGAUACUGGGAACUCAUCUCAGACCGCUUCCAUGUCACAGGACGUGCAGCCCGACAAAGUCCCGCCCCCUGGCGAGGUGAAAGGUGACGACGUGAGCCUGAACGGGCUGCAUGAUUGUAACGGGUUGGUUGCCUCGCUGCCACCCGCCACGCUAGAGACAACUCGAGGCGUCGUCAAGCAGGAGAGCUUUUCCGAGGCGCUCCCGGUUUGCGUCAGUGUCACGGCGGCAGGAGAGGCGGGCCUUUGUGACAUCAGCACUUUUGGGGAGGACUUGAAACACGCAGGGGGUCCGCUGUUGUUGAGUGUUGAGGAGGUGCUUCGGACCUUGGAGACAGAUGCUGACCCCUCCCCUGAACCCACCCACCAGCUAGAUGACCCCCUUAUACCUCUUUCUAACCUCAAUGGUCCUUGCUGUCCUCCUGACCUUUGCCCCAUUCCCCUAGAAAACAGCCGCCACCUCCUCCAGUCCCCCACUGUUGCCCCCUGUUCCCCCCCUCGCUGCCACCGUAAACGCUCUCGCUCAGAGAGUGACAGCGAGAAGGUGCAGCCCCUUCCCAUCUCCAGCCUCCUCCGGGGGCCUCCUCCCAACAGUGCCCCCCUCCACCCCAACCUCAGUGCCCCCAUCAAACCAGAAUCCAAGUUCCCGGCUGCUGCGCCCCACCACCUGGCACCAGUGCCUAACGGCGGCCCCCCCAAGGUGGGCAAGACUGUGCUCGUGAAGCCGCUGAAAAAGACUGCAGAGCACCACGGGGUCCCCAAGAAGGCUCAUGCCAAGGCCAGGCAAGGUGCCCCCAAACCCCGGUCACAGCCCCGGGUACCCCCACACCCCCAUGCUCACCCUCUUACUCACCCAUCCAGCCCCUCCAAGCCGCUAUACAAGAAGCCCGUGGAGAAGAAAGGCUGCAAAUGCGGUCGAGCGACCCAGAACCCAUCAGUGCUGACCUGCAGGGGGCAGCGUUGUCCAUGCUACUCCAACCGCAAGGCGUGUCAAGACUGCAUUUGCCGCGGCUGCCAGAACUCGUACAUGGCCAACGGCGAGAAGAAGCUGGAGGCCUUUGCCGUGCCCGAGAAGGCUCUGGAGCAGACGCGCCUCACGCUGGGCAUCAACCUCACCAGUAUCACCACCGCCGCUGCCCUCCGCAGCCCGGCCAAUAGCUCACCCGGUAACACCCUCCUUAACGUGGCCACCGCCACUGGGGCACCGGUCGCUGCCACCGCCUUCCUAUCAGGGACGGGGCACGACAGCCGGGGGUUUGACGAUUCGCUGGAAAUGCACUUUGACUGUUGAGUGUCCGCCCCCACCCCAACCUACACGGUCGUCACACACACGCAGCGGCGCCAGGACGUUUAUUGUCUUGGCUCGGGUCAGGUCGCUUUCAGCAUCAUCGUCAGUCAUUUCUAGAGGUUUUUCUACAUGAAUCCAUCGGGAACAUUUUAGGAUCUAUUUUUUACAUGAAAACAAAAAUGAAACGCGCUUCACUGGCCUUUGACAUGGCUGUGAGACAGGAAGUUAAAAAGACGUGAUAAAAACGUGACGUAAAAAACCUCCACCAGCUUCAUGUGACUUUUUACUUUUGAUGAUUUGCGUUUGGCCAGCCCCCACCAUUUGGUCAACUUGCUGCUAAAAAGACUAGAAGAGACUCGCCAGUUUGUUUGCAUUAAUAAGUACAUCCACCACACUUGACUAUUUAUUGGAGCGAUCCCUCGGUGCCACUGCAGCCCUGUCUUAGCAUUAGCGUGUACCAUUCUCCCACCCCCAAACCAGGGCAUUUACAGACAUGUAAUAUAACUGUAUCAUAUUUCCACAAAAGAAAGAAAAUCAAACAGUUUAAAUGACUUCUUUUUUUCUCCUCACGGUACACUUCUUCAAGUGGUCACUAGAUGGCAGCACGACGCAUGUGAACGCUUGAAACAACCAAGACGUUAGCUACUAGAGCAUCUCAAUAAGUUAGAAUAUGGUGCAAAAUACGUUUCAUUUCAGGAGGUCAGUUCAGACUAAUAGACCAAUUAAAGGCUCAGGAAGUUUUUGCAGCUUUGACAAUUUUUCUUGUUUUAUGAUGUACUGAAUUUGGGGUUUUUUAUUCGCUGAAAACGUUGAUCAUUGAUAUUAUUAAGAACUACAUUCUUUAAAGAUUUCACUUUGGGUAGUGAGUCGAGAGUAGAAAUGAAGAAUUACUUUGAGAUGCCCUAGUAAAUUAAGAACUGUUACUUGACACAAAAAGUAUUUCACAGUAAUUUGUACAUACAUUUAUUUCACACAUUUACAGAUAAAACCUAUUUACAUUCACAUGUGAUUUACAACUUCGUAGCCAUGUUUUAUACAUUAAAAUGUAAUUAUCAAAAUUGAUUGAUCUAAACCAUUUAAAAACAAUGCUGCAUUCAUGAUCGUGGGAUGUUUGGCUGUCGGGACCACUUAGCUCCAGUUAUAAAAUUGAACAGUUAUAACAUUGUGUCCCCACCCACAUUUCGAGUUGGGCUAUUUCGCUAAGGACGUUCAUAUUUACACCCAGUUUCUGAUGGACAAUAGAUGACCAAAAAGUUAGAAUCUUUACAUAGAUUAAUGGACUGUUUAAGUGCCUGAGAAAUAUUGUAGGAUUUACAAAAAGUACGUUAGUGAUUGUCAAAUAGCAAAAUCUAACUUUAGUUAAAGCUUGUCACCUUUGAACGCUGCUUCAUAAGGUGUAGCGUUUGUUGCUGUGGAUGGGAGCCCACUAGUGGCUGCGCUGGGUAGUGCAGGAGUGUUGCACCAAUCAUACCUGUGCCAUUGCGUCCCCGUGCGUCAGCAUUCGCCAAGUGUUGACUUUACAGGUUCCGUUAAAAGCCCGACAGCGCCCCCUCUGUGGUCCUUGGGUGUCUUAGCUGAUAGAAACGCCCCGAAGAAGCUGCUUUUCUCAUCCAUGUCCACAGCAGAGGUGUUGGUCACUGACAAAGAGGCGGUCCCCGGGGCUGAGCAGGAAAAGGUCCCUCUGGUGGGCUGAGUGCAGUGAGAAUUGGGAUUCCCGGGAACAGCAGGAGGUGCAGCUCGUCUUCAUCAGCAGGAUGGGAAGAGGGUAGGUGCUCACCUGAGGGAGACAUUGUUCACAAGUCAACAUGUGGGCAAAAAGGGCAGGACAGCACCCUCACCUUUUUAUAGAUGUACACUGGGUUCUCUACUUACGAACAUCCGACUUGCGAGCAUUCGGAGAUACGAACACAAGCUCACUGGUCUAUAUUUUCAUGUAUUUUGCCAUGUAGUAACUCCAUAUUUAUACUGCUACAUGCUUGACCAGUAGAGGGCACUGUGACACUGCUAAUGGGACCAACAGGUAGAGGAAGACGGUGGGGAGAGAGUGUAAAGGAGAAAUGCAAAGCUAAAUUGUAGCUCUAUGAUGCAACCCAGACAGAGCGUGUGAUUAAAGUUUAUGAAGAGCUAAUAGGCCUGCUUAAUUCUACACCACCCACAGAACACUACCUCUUUUAGAAGAGUCUACGACGCUGACGAUUUGUCCUUUUUUCAAUAACUCCUCCACCACUACCACAACGACGUAUGCUCAACAACUCCUCUUCAAAGGUAAAUAACAUUUAUCAUUACGUAUUAUGUCAUUUUUAUAAUUAUUGUUUUUUUCACUAAUUAUCCUUGUUUAAUAUUACUACUGCAUCCAAACUCAUAUUUACAUACAUACACAUGUAUGUAUGUAAAUAUGUAUAGACGUACAUGUAGUACCUAUAUCAUUGGUAAAUUACCUUUUGUUCGACUUGCGAACGGUCGUCUGGAACCAAUUGUGUUCGUAAGUUGGGGACCUAGUGUACUGCAGCAGAGGUCUUCCCGUGUUCCCCACCGUUUCAUCCUCCUCCAAAGAGUCGACCUCCAAGGAGUUGGUGUGUCUGAAGUACGUCUGGGCGUAGACGUAAUAGAGGCCGGGACGUGGCACCACAAGCUCGCCAUCCACCAGCUGGACGUCCUGGAGGAAGGCCAGCCCCUUUUGGCCCUCCACCACGUGAUCUUCUGUCCGUGAACUCGCCUGCCGCCGGUCACUGCAGCUGAGGAGAGACGUCAACACGAAUACAAGAACCGCCCUCGGAGCGGAGCCCGUCAUAGCAGACAGCGCGCCGCUCGCUCGGGAGGACGCGGCAGACCACACAGACCACACGCCGACGUCCCGGAGAGGAACAACAAUUGCAGAGCAGCGACUCUGGACUAUAGAACCUCCCAGCACUGGAAGGAGAGGGGGCGGGGCUUGGAAAGUGUGCCGCGCAAACAUGAAAGUUUUCUGUCACUUCUUCGUCUUGCAUCCAAAGUUCCUCAGACACAACAAUCAACGAGGGCCAGUUCCCUGAAGCACACAUCACAAGGCACACUUUAUGUGCACACAUUGUUUGGAUUUUAGGUUGUAAAACAAGAGUUCUGUACAAUUUAGAACACUCGUCUUGGUAGGGUACCUGAAGUGGGCGGAGUUAGACAGUGCAGUGCCUUGAUUGGUGGACGGAGAAGGGUCACUUCCGUGAAGACUUACAUAUGCCGUCUAAUUAACGUGCAACAUUCAAAUCUACAAGUGUGAGCUUUUACUGAACCACACCAAGUAUGUUUUUUUUUUUUUUUUUUUUUUUUUUAAAACAAGUACAUGCAGCCGGACGUCCAAUGUUUCCAUCUGCCUUACCUGGGUUUUGAACCCAAAUCCCCUGCUUCAUGAACCUGUGAUGUUACCAGCUGAGUUAGCCAGCUGGCAAGCUUGUGUGAUGUUGUAUCAGUGGUGAUGAUGACCAUACAUGCUGGACCUGGAGAAGUAGCAAGGAAACCAUUUGUUUUUUUCUACGCAAGACAAGUAAAAGUAGCUGGAUGCCCAAUGUUACCAUCUGCCCUGACUGGGUUUGGAACCCCUAACAGCUGCACCAUGAAACUGCAUGCUGACGGUGGAGUUAGCCAGCUGGCAAGCAUGCAUGAUAUUGUAUCGGUGGUGAUGAUGGCGAUAGUUGCUGGACACUUGCUAGCAUGGAAGCCAUUUGUCUUUUUUUAGACAAAACAAGUACAAGACGCUGGAAGCCCAAUGUUACCAAUACCAAGGAAGCCAUUCAAAACAAUAACCAGGAGCACUGCUCUGGUUUCACACCCCAGACCUCUUGCACCAUGACCAAGCGGUGUUGUCAGCAGAGUCGUCCGAAUGCCAAACAUGUUUGAUAUUGUUGUGGGGGUAUUGAUGAUGAUAGAUGGAGCGAAAUUACAAAAGGACCAGGCAGUAGUUGAAUGUGACUCCUUGCCCUGAGCAGUACUUGACCUCCUGCUUCCUCUCACCACCACCUAGUGGUGCUAUCAGUAGAGAUAUCCAGGCAGGAACACACUGCCUUACUCACACAAACAUAACAAACCACGUAUGGCUUGGAGGUUCAUUGUGUCAUGCGGCAAAACCAAUCGUCACAACUACUGAAAAAGAAAUGUUAAAAUUCCAUAGUAAAAUAAACAUUUAGGUCAUAAAGGAGUUCAAUCAAAUGCUGUUCUUGUGUUUGAGCUUUUUCACAUUCUGUGCCAGUUUAAAAAUAUGCAUUAAUAAUUCAGCGUGCACGGACCACCCUAACAUGGUCACAUUUAGGCCCUUCAAUACUUGAUGUCAUUUAAAUUCAUGUCAAUGCAAAUACUCAGUCAAUAUGUACAUACUAUGUACUGUACAUACUGUAUGUAAUGUGUGUACUACCGAGUGCCUACACUCUUAACGCUAAAUGUUUGGAGUUGGCCGAAGCCUCGCCGAUGGAAGCUAGUUACUAAGUUAGUUCCUGGUACUACAGUAGGUGUAUUGGUGACAAUGUAUUCAAUGAUAUUUCUCCAGGUCCAGCACGAAUCACCAUGGCUCUCUCAUCAUGUCUCAGUGGUGUAGUUCAAGUGGUAAACGCUACUAGUGAACGGUGUAAGCAGACUGGCUUCGAAGCCUGGUCAAAGCGACUGGUGGUUGUUGGCUGUUUUGUCUGGAAACAGACCAACCAAAUGGCUUCCUGACUACUUCCUUGGUAUUUCUCCAUCUAUCGCCGUCAUCACCACCAAUACAAUACUAUGUUACUUCACCAGGUGGCAGCAACACUGUGUGGUGGUGCAAGGAGACAAGUAAAUCAUCACCCCCACAACAACAUCAAGCACUGUUGCUAGUUGGGUGGCUCUGCUGAUAGUACCACAGGUUCAUGGUGCACGGGGACUGGGGUUUAGAACCUGGUCAGACCAACUUGUAAUUGUUGAUCCUUUUGUCUGGAAACAGACCAACAGAUGGCUUCCUUGGUAUUGUGCCAUCUAUGGUCAUCAUCACCACCAUCAUAACUUCAUACACGUUCACCAGCUGGCUCACGCCGCUGUUAGCACCGCAGGUUUAUGGUGCCAGUGGACCGGGAUUCAAAACCUGGUCAGGGCCAGCAGUAACAUACUCCAUCCAACUACUUGCUGGUCAUUUUCUGUAGAAAAAGACAACCCAAUGGCUUCCUUAUUUCUGUCAUCAUCAGCACCCCCACAACAAUACCCUGUGUGUUUGCCAGUUGGAUGGCUCUGCUGAUAGCACAACUGGUUUAUGGUGCAUGAGGACUGGGGUUCAAAACCUGGUCUAUCCAACUGGUACCGCCAUCCUUUUGAUGUGAAACAGAUUGCUUCCCUACUUCCAGCACGUAUCACCAUACCAUGACUACAAUAUCAUGCAUGUUCGCCAGCUGGUUAGCUCCACUGGUAGCACUGCAGAUUCACGCUGCAGGAGAUCAGUGUUUAAAACCUGGACAAGGCAGGUGGUAGCAUUAGCAUUUUUCUAAAAACAAAUGGCUUGCCCUGCUUUCUCCAGGUCCAGAACGUGUUGCAGUCAUCACUACCGAUACAACAUCAAACAUCUUCACCAGCUGUCUAACUCAGUUGGUAGCACUGCAGGCUAUGGUGUGGGGGAUUCUGGUUCAAAUCCUGGUCAGCAUUUUCUGCCUAACAUGUAAUAGGAAGUUGCUUAGUCAAUCUGUUUUGUAGAAAUUUCUCCAGGCCAGCACGUAUUGCAGUCGUCACUACCGAUACAAUAUCACGAACAUUUGCCAGCCGGCUAACUCAGUUGGUAGCACCAAAGGUUACGGUGCAGGGGAUCUGGGUCCAAAUCCCGGUCAAGUCCGAAUAACUUGUGAUAGGGAGUUGCUUUCCCAGUGGGCGAUCGAUGUGGCACAAUAUAAGUAGGGACACCCCCUCAGCAUUAAUUAUGGUAAGUAUCAACACACGAAGACCCGCCUCCAGGAUGAUCUGCUGCUACCAGGGAAAGAUUAAGUGCCUCAGAGAUCUGUCCAGCUGGGUGGAGUCAACAUAAAA